rnacentral:lncRNA from 10 species
UAAAAACCUGAGGAUGCAUUCUUGUGACCAGAAUCUCCACUUCUGAGCUGCGGAUGCACAAGACAAAAGGAAGUGAACCCAUGACUGGCCUCAGAUGCAGAUGCCUAACAACAAACAGCCCCAUCACCCCCGGUUGAGGAGAGGAGGGGGCUGUGGCUGCAGACAGACCUCAUAUGUCUCUAAUCUGCCACCUAUGGCCUGUGUGACCCUUGUUAGUGACUGUCUCCCUGUCCCUCAAUUUCCUUUCUAUAAGUAGGAUAAGUGCUAUUUGGCUGUGAGGUUGUUUGUGAGUUAACCUCAAAAUAUUUACAAUUACUUGAUCUCAGCUCUGCACAGAGGAGCUGCCCAAGUGAACAGUUAUCUAUGAUUAUUUGCUUCCAAGACAGAGGGCCCUGGGCCUGAUCCCUGGUGGACAUGGAGCUGCCAGGAGCAUCCUCUCUUCUCUGUUCCUCCCCUUGGGGACUCUGAACUUCCCAGGGAGUAACCUGUGUCCCCCAGGGCAGUGGGCUCAUGCACUAGUAAUUUUUUCCAUCUGUCCUUUCCAUGCUGAGCCUCAAGUGAAGGAGGAGGCCCUAUCCUCAGCUAGAUGAGGCUCUGGGUGCUCGGACCUGGCUGGUGACCAACUCCAGGAGUCAUGGCCCUUGGAUAGCUCACAUCCUUGCUCCCAGCCAGCCCUGCCCAAGAGGCCACCACACAGCCCUGGCACAGACUCCCCAGGAUCACCUGGAAUCAGGAACCAGGGACAGGGCUUUGUACAGGGGCUCAGUUCAGGGAAGAGUUGAGCUUCUCUCUGAGGGGUCCCUAGGGGGACCCCUCAGGCCAGGCCCUGAUCCAGUUCUCCAGGGUCUUUCUCAGGGUCAGGUCCAUGGGGAGACCAUGGGGUGCUUGUCUGACACUGACCUCGCCCUGCUGAGUCCCCCCAUCAGACUGUCCUUCCUCUGCAGCGAGUGUCUGCAGGGUCUGGAUCCAGGAAAGGAAUUCUGAUCUGUGGAAGUUUGUCUCCCCCGUGUGUGUCCUGCACUAAAUGUCCAAACCCUGAUACAGGAUGUAAUGCAGAGAGGGCCACAGGCACAACCCAGGCCUGACAAUCCCGUAUGUGGGAAGUAGAACUGACCCCCAACACCCAGAGGUCAUGUGGAAAUACUCACGGUAUACAUGGAACUGUCCGGUUGCUUCUUCAUUCACAAGAUCUGACUUUAUGACUUGUAGGGUAUAGAAUCCUGUGUCAUUCUGGGUGAC